GGGGCUGCACUGGUUUCGACGGGGGCAGUGAGGCCGGAUAAGCGGGCAGAGGCGCCUGGCCUCUAUAAAACGGGCAAUUUGUCUAAAUUAACUGACAACAAUAACUACGCACUGGCUGCCUAAUUAAAGGCGCCCGUCCUACCCGGAAGGACCACGAGCCGGGAUAGGGCGUGAUUGAGUGGUGACCGUGAGUACGCUAAGCUUUGCGCGUGCCAUGCAUCAUGAAGCUACCAAGUCUGUAAGCGUGUUUGUUCGCGUGCAGGCGAGGGAAUGUAAAUAACAAACUGUGCCCGAAGAAAGUCUUGUCAAGUUGCUUUCGGACAGGGGUUCGAUUCCCCUCAGCUCCACCA
rnacentral:tmRNA from 1 species